AACGAACGCUGGCGGCAGGCCUAACACAUGCAAGUCGAGCGAGGACUUCGGUCCUAGCGGCGGACGGGUGAGUAACGCGUGGGAACGUGCCCCUUGGUACGGAAUAGCCCCGGGAAACUGGGAGUAAUACCGUAUGAGCUCUACGGAGGAAAGAUUUAUCGCCAAGGGAUCGGCCCGCGUUGGAUGAGGUAGUUGGUGGGGUAUUGGCCUACCAAGCCGACGAUCCAUAGCUGGUUUGAGAGGAUGAUCAGCCACACUGGGACUGAGACACGGCCCAGACUCCUACGGGAGGCAGCAGUGGGGAAUCUUAGACAAUGGGCGCAAGCCUGAUCUAGCCAUGCCGCGUGAGCGAUGAAGGCCUUAGGGUUGUAAAGCUCUUUCAGCUGGGAAGAUAAUGACUGUACCAGCAGAAGAAGCCCCGGCUAACUCCGUGCCAGCCGCCGCCGUAAUAC
rnacentral:rRNA from 1 species